CAAUGUAUUUGGACCGGGCCUGUAUGUUGAACAAUAACUAACCAGAACCUGAUAAUUUGGCGCCCUCUUGCUGUAGAGACAAAAUAUGACUACAAUAGUGAAGUAUUCUGACUCAUGUAGGUGGUCUUUGCAGGCCCCCGGUGUCCGGUCUGGAGUGUGAAGUCACAAGCUCUGCUGAUCGGCUACUGCGUAGCAACCCAGCGGUGCCAAAAGCACUGGUCUGCCCUAGAAAGCCUAUGUAAAUUACAAUCGUCAGAACGGCCAAAGUUGUUGUGAUUCUACCAACAACGACCAGAAACUGCCAUGUGGGGAAUCACUGGGACUGUAAUGAAGUGCUAUUUCCUAUGCAAAUGACCAGCUUACUGCUAUUGCAUUGCUAUAACGGAGACAACACAUAGCAACGUAUUGACAACACAUAGCAACGUAUUGACAACACAUAGCAACGUAUUGACAACACAUAGCAACGUAUUUUCACAGUAAAACAUGUUAGGGCACACACAGAAUAUCUCUCACACACACACUCACUUAAAUCAUCCACAACACUGUCAAAACAGGAUACAUCCUAGCCACAGGUGCUAGCCGUCAGUUCGGCCACAACAUCUUGCCAAGACAAGAACGCACACACAUACACACACUCAUUGCGAGGACACCAAGAUAAGAACGCACACACAUUACACACACUCACUGCGAGGACACACAGACUUGACUUGUGAAGACAGGGACGCACACACAUACCCACACUCAUUGCGAGGACACCAAGAUAAGAACGCACACACAUUACACACACUCACUGCGAGGACACACAGACUUGACUUGCCAAGACAGGAACGCACACACAUACACACACUCAUUCCCUCUCCUGGGGAUGGGUUCCAAAGACAAAGAACUCUUCCAACUGCCAAUGGGACGCCGACACCAGUCUGGAGGGAACUGCCAAUCAACUACCAGCAACCUACCAGAGGCCUGAUCUACCAGAAUCUACCUACGUCAGACCCAUGAAUAAAAUGACUGUACACAAUGUAUCGGGGCUCUUUUCUGAAGGUUCCCUAUGAGCUAGACGAACGAGAGUCCGUGCACGCUUUGCCAGAUAUCUAUACACUACAAAAAUAAACUGCCUUUACUAUACC